ACAGACGACCCUCUGGAGCUAAUCGCAUCACAGACGACCCUCUGGAGCUAAUCGCAUCACAGACGACCCUCUGGAGGUAAUCGCAUCACAGACGACCCUCUGGAGGUAAUCGCAUCACAGACGACCCUCUGGAGGUAAUGACAUCACAGACGACCCUCUGGAGGUAAUGACAUCACAGACGACCCUCUGGAGGUAAUGACAUCACAGACGACCCUCUGGAGGUAAUGACAUCACAGGCAACCCUCUGGAGGAUAAUCACAUCACCGGCGACCCUCUGGAGGUAAUCACAGGCGACCCUCUGGAGGUAAUCACAGACGACCCUCUGGAGGUAAUCACAGACGACCCUCUGGAGGUAAUCACAGACGACCCUCUGGAGGUAAUCACAGACGACCCUCUGGAGGUAAUCACAUCACAGACGACCCUCUGGAGGUAAUCACAGACGACCCUCUGGAGGUAAUCACAGACGACCCUCUGGAGGUAAUCACAGACGACCCUCUGGAGGUAAUGACAUCACAGACGACCCUCUGGAGGUAAUGACAUCACAGACGACCCUCUGGAGGUAAUGACAUCACAGGCAACCCUCUGGAGGAUAAUCACAUCACCGGCGACCCUCUGGAGGUAAUCACAGGCGACCCUCUGGAGGUAAUCACAGACGACCCUCUGGAGGUAAUCACAGACGACCCUCUGGAGGUAAUCACAGACGACCCUCUGGAGGUAAUCACAGACGACCCUCUGGAGGUAAUCACAUCACAGGCGAUCCUCUGGAGGAAAUGACAUCACAGACGACCCUCUGGAGGUAAUGACUUCACAUACAAACCUCUGGAGGUAAUGACAUCACAGACAAACCUCUGGAGGUAAUCACAGACUACCCUCUGGAGGUAAUCACAGACGACCCUCUGGAGGUAAUCACAUCACAGACGACCCUCUGGAGGUAAUCACAUCACAGACGACCCUCUGGAGGUAAUCACAUCACAGACGACCCUCUGGAGGUAAUCACAUCACAGACGACCCUCUGGAGGUAAUCACAGACAACCCUCUGGAGGUAAUCACAGACGACCCUCUGGAGGUAAUCACAGACGACCCUCUGGAGGUAAUCACAGACGACCCUCUGGAGGUAAUCACAGAUGACCCUCUGGAGGUAAUCGCAUCACAGACGACCCUCUGGAGGUAAUCGCAUCACAGACGACCCUCUGGAGGUAAUCGCAUCACAGACGACCCUCUGGAGGUAAUCGCAUCACAGACGACCCUCUGGAGGUAAUCGCAUCACAGACGACCCUCUGGAGGUAAUCGCAUCACAGACGACCCUCUGGAGGUAAUCGCAUCACAGACGACCCUCUGGAGGUAAUCGCAUCACAGACGACCCUCUGGAGGUAAUCGCAUCACAGGCGACCCUCUGGAGGUAAUCACAGACGACCCUCUGGAGGUAAUCGCAUCACAGACGACCCUCUGGAGGUAAUCACAUCACAAUGUGUCUUUUGAAUAUCUACACCGGUUUUCAAAUGUGGCCACAAUCAG